CGGCAACAGCUCAAAUUUGAAAUCUGGCCCCUAGGGUCCGAGUUGUAAUUUGCAGAGGAUGCUUUUGACAAGGUGCCUUCCGAGUUCCCUGGAACAGAACGUCAUAGAGGGUGAGAAUCCCGUCUAGAACCGAUAGCCACGUUCAUGUGAAACUCCUUCGAC
rnacentral:rRNA from 1 species